rnacentral:rRNA from 1 species
UACGGAGGGUGCAAGCGUUAUCCGGAUUCACUGGGUUUAAAGGGUGCGUAGGUGGGCAGGUAAGUCCGUGGUGAAAUCUCUGAGCUUAACUCAGAAACUGCCGUGGAUACUAUUUGUCUUGAAUGUUGUGGAGGUGAGCGGAAUAUGUCAUGUAGCGGUGAAAUGCUUAGAUAUGACAUAGAACACCAAUUGCGAAGGCAGCUUGCUAAACAAAUAUUGACGCUGAGGCACGAAAGCGUGGGGAUCAAACAGG